UGGGGCAGUGGGGGCCCCGGCUCCUCCUGGGAGGGUCGGGCUCUGUCGGGCCAUGCGCGCUCAGGCGGCCGCCCUAGUCUGCUGUCCCGUCUCCUGUUCCCUCUCCGGUCCCUCACCUGUGGCUCAGCUGUCCCUCACCUGUCCUAUCUCCUGUCCUUCUGCUGUGCCCUCAGCUGUCCCCUCAGCCCCCCUCAGUUCCCCCAGACGCCCCUAGCCUCGGAACGGGCGCAUGGCUGUGCCCUGCGGCUGCAGGUGGCCGAGGGGACGAGGCGCAGCUGUUCCUGAGGCGAGUGGGUGACCGCAGAGCAGGAGUGCUGUCCCGCCUGGCAGCCUGGACGCCGGCCCUCCUCCUGGAUGGGUACAGACCCAGGAGGGGAAACUGCUGAGUUCUAUGUUUCAUGGGCUGCAACAGUGUGACUGCAGUUGGCUGACUGGACUGAAACAGCAGCACCAAAACCUGAAAAAGUGUCAUCGGUGAUGAGGCUCCACCAAUAAAACGCCUGGGAGGGGUCAGAGGUCAGGCUGCCAGGAGCGACCAGAGCAGCUCCGGGCAGGAGUCACCAGUCCAGAACCCAGUGGCAGCCUCUGCAGAGGUGGAGCCCUUCACUUUGUGCCUUUUCUGUGACGGUGGCUGCAUUGUCACGUCUGAUGUGAUGGUGGAUCCGGGCAGGAGGAUGGUAGCACCCAGGGCAGCGCAUGCUCAGCUAGCAGUUUCGUUCCAGCGUGUCCCAUCAGAGAAGGGUCCUUUUUGUGGACAUCCACGUGAGGGCCCCGGAAAGUGCAGUCAGCAGUUGUCAUUUGUUUCCACAGUUCACGGCCCCAAGGGGGGCGUCUUUAACGCUACUCUAGUUUUCAUAAUGGCAGACCUGGUAGCUAGGCCACUGGCAAAGCCCAGGGGUCAGUAAGCACAGAGCACGGUUAAUCAAGGCAGGCAUUGGCCAGAGCCCUGAGAGGGGCCUGGGUUCUGGCCUCCGGGUGCAGGGGCCGUGUCUGCUUUUGGUGUUGCAGGGCUGGCACUGCAGUCCAGUGGAAAUCAGUGAGCUUUCGCUUAGUCAAAGCAGGCUCAGCAUUUAGGGCCAUCUGUGAAUUGAGGGCUCCAGUGAGCCAGUGCAAUGACUCGCCUGGCUCGGCGGUGGGCAAAGCUUUCCCUGGAGAGGUAGCUGCUGCUUUCUCAGGUAGGGCCCAG